UCCCCUGUAGCUCAGCUGGCAGAGCAAAGGACUGUUAAUCCUUGGGUCGUUGGUUCAAAUCCAACCGGGGGAG
rnacentral:tRNA from 1 species